rnacentral:misc_RNA from 1 species
UUGUGGAGGAGGACGCCGAAGGUGGGGCUAAUGACUGGGGUGAAGUCGUAACAAGGUAGCCGUACCGGAAGGUGCGGCUGGAUCACCUCCUAACAGGGAGACAACAAAAUGUUUAAUAUUAUUAUUUUGUCACCUUAGGUCGAUCGGUAUCUCACGUUCUUAAUUUAUUAAGGAUUUCAUUUCCUAAGUUUUUCUAGGUCACACCCAUUAUUUUCCUGGGCCAUUAGCUCAGGUGGUUAGAGCGCACCCCUGAUAAGGGUGAGGUCCCUGGUUCAAGUCCAGGAUGGCCCAUAUCUCUAUGUUGGGGGUAUAGCUCAGUUGGUAGAGCGCCUGCUUUGCAAGCAGGAUGUCAGCGGUUCGAGUCCGCUUACCUCCACUGAUUACCACCUCUUCCAUAAUCUGUAGAAAGGAAAAUUUUUGAGUUGUGAUCAAAAUUCUAAACGAAUCUAGCUUCCUAAUGAAACCAUUAAGAUGCUGGACUCAUUGAAUUAAUUUCAUUGUUUUCAGAGAACCUUGACAACUGCAUAGAUUAUUUUUAAAGACAAUAAGCAUCUUUAAUGAUGCAGAUUUAUUAUUUGUGCAAAUGCAUUAAUAACAAUUCUAUUAAGCUGAUGCUUCAAUUAUGAAGUUAUUGGUCAAGCUACAA